AAUCACAAAGUUACGUCGCUGGUACGUUAUUUGGCACGUCGCUGCGACCAAUAUGGUACGGUAGAGUGACGUCCUCACGACGUGCCGGUUUGGUUGUUAGGACGUUCUCAGCACGUUCCAGCGACGUAACAAAUAACGUCGCCACGACGAAUAUGGGAAUCACAAAGUUACGUCGCUGGAACGUUAUUUGGUACGUCGCUGCGACGUAUAUGGUCCGGUCCAGUUACGUCGUCACGACGUAACUGUGUUAGCUGGGAACACACCUUUUCUGCCAAACGAGGUCUAAUUGCUGCUGCUGUACUGUACACCCCCUGCAUUCUUAUCAUGGAUUGCUGUCAUUCAAGAAGGUAUCAUUUCCUCCCAUUGUGGCUGAGCUACACAUUCUCUUUGUUUUAUUUUAAACAUAAAACAUCCAGAAGAUGGCACCUACGCUGGAAUCCAUGUUUACCACUGUGCCCAGGUGUGCCAGGAACACCUCCCAUCCACAUGGCACAUGGCUGUCUAUGAUCAGGUUGACUGACAUCUGUUUCUGGACCCUCAGGCUCUUCCACGUCCUCUCCUCCCUCAGUCCCUUCAUCCAAAG